rnacentral:rRNA from 1 species
UACGUAGGGGGCAAGCGUUGUCCGGAUUUAUUGGGCGUAAAGAGCGUGUAGGCGGCUAGGUAGGUCCGUUGUGAAAACUCGAGGCUCAACCUCGAGACGUCGAUGGAAACCAUCUAGCUAGAGUCCGGAAGAGGAGAGUGGAAUUCCCGGUGUAGCGGUGAAAUGCGCAGAUAUCGGGAGGAACACCAAUGGCGAAGGCAGCUCGCUGGGACGGUACUGACGCUGAGGCGCGAAAGCGUGGGGAGCAAACAGG